UUAGGCCGGGAACUCAAAGGAGACUGCCAGUGAUAAACUGGAGGAAGGUGGGGAUGACGUCAAGUCAUCAUGGCCCUUACGACCAGGGCUACACACGUGCUACAAUGGCGCAUACAAAGAGAAGCGACCUCGCGAGAGCAAGCGGACCUCAUAAAGUGCGUCGUAGUCCGGAUCGGAGUCUGCAACUCGACUCCAUGAAGUCGGAAUCGCUAGUAAUCGUGGAUCAGAAUGCCACGGUGAAUACGUUCCCGGGCCUUGUACACACCGCCCGUCACACCAUGGGAGUGGGUUGCAAAAGAAGUAGGUAGCUUAACCUUCGGGAGGGCGCUUACCACUUUGUGAUUCAUGACUGGGGUGAAGUCGUAACAAGGUAACCGUAGGGGAACCUGCGGUUGGAUCACCUCCUUA
rnacentral:rRNA from 1 species